UUAACCAAAACCAAAAAGAGGUAUAUUAUUGUUAAUAAUAGAAUUGAAAAUUUAUUUCUGGUUAAG
rnacentral:tRNA from 1 species